rnacentral:lncRNA from 1 species
CCUGCCAAAUUUAUCUGCCAAGUUUCUGACUGGCAGAAGAAACAGAGGAUCUAUGAGUGACGACGACCAUAGAGAAGGUGGAAGAAAGGACGGCAGCAGAUUACAUGAUCGGUGGCUCUGAUACCUGAAGGGAAUUCGAGCAUCGUAUGCGCCGAGGAUUCGCCGAUUAAGGUGAAAGUAUGCAAUUUGAAAACAAUUUUCAGCAAAAUAACAUAGAGCUUUUCAAAACAGCCCAUUGCAAACUUUGGAUCUGAUCCAAUCCUACGAAAUUCCCAGAUGAAUCCGUAGGAUAUGUGAUAGAAAUAUUCAUGCAUGGAUCACAUCGUAUAUGAUCUUGAAUUGAGAUCAAAUCUCAACUCCAAAAACUAAAAACAGAACACUAACCUUUCAGCAAGUUGGUUCUAGCUUGCUGCUCCACAACCGCACAAGCGUCCGGUCUCUACAAGUAAUCCACGCGAGACCUCUGGAUCAACCGGCAUCCUGGGAAGUGCUAGCUCGCAGGGAUGCAGCAGGUGGCCGAGAGAGAGGGAGAGAACUAGGAGGAAGAGGACUAGCUACCCUUUCCUUCAAUCUUUUCUUUUUCCUUUCUUUUUCAUACAACAUGAACUCUCAAAGCUCACUUCACUCUUUCCCAACCGGUGUCAAAACACCAAAUACUCUAAGCCAG